UGCCUCAGAAGAAGGAUGACUGAAGGAGGGCUAGAGAAACAGAAAGAGAAUGAGAACAGAGAGAGAUAAAGAAAAGCAUACAAAAUAUUUAUUGCUGCAUUUCCAUGCCUUCUCCACAAUAUUGAGGCCUGAAUUAGGUAGGUAGUUGAAAUCUCUCUAAAAGUGAGUCAGAU
rnacentral:lncRNA from 1 species